UUUUGAAUUUCUUGGGAACAGCGCCAAUAGCGGCAAAGAGCAGCAGUCCGCUGAAGAAGGAAGAUCGUGCAUUUGAUACUGAUUUGUCUGGAUCACAGUUUCUCACACUGUUGAAAGGUGUUCUUCUUUGCCACGAUGCCCUCAUUCAGUGUGGUGGAGUUCGUGGAUGAAAUUGACCAUGAUGGCUGCAAGCAAGUCGACAUCAUUCCAUCAGAGU